rnacentral:rRNA from 1 species
UGGGGAAUUUUGGACAAUGGGGGAAACCCUGAUCCAGCCAUCCCGCGUGUGCGAUGAAGGCCUUCGGGUUGUAAAGCAUUUUUGGCAGGAAAGAAACGUCAUGGGUUAAUACCCCGUGAAACUGACGGUACCUGCAGAAUAAGCACCGGCUAACUACGUGCCAGCAGCCGCGGUAAUACGUAGGGUGCAAGCGUUAAUCGGAAUUACUGGGCGUAAAGCGUACGCAGGCGGUUCGGAAAGAAAGAUGUGAAAUCCCAGAGCUCAACUUUGGAACUGCAUUUUUAACUACCGGGCUAGAGUGUGUCAGAGGGAGGUGGAAUUCCGCGUGUAGCAGUGAAAUGCGUAGAUAUGCGGAGGAACACCGAUGGCGAAGGCAGCCUCCUGGGAUAACACUGACGCUCAUGCACGAAAGCGUGGGGAGCAAACAGG